GCAGAAGUCUCUGGUAUAACCCUUCCUCAGGACUCCGGCAUGGUUUCACACAGAGGUAAAUACAAUGACUGCAGAUGCUGGAAACCAGAUUCUGGAUCAGUGGUGCUGGAAGAGCACAGUAGUUCAGGCAGCAUCCGCGGAGCAGGAAAAUCAACGUUUCGGGCAAAAGCCCUUCAUCAGGAAUAAAGGCAGUGAGCCUGAAGCGUGGAGAGAGAGGAGGAAAACUUCUUCAAGGCAGGCAUCCUUGCAAGAGGAUUCGCAGUAGGGUUAAAAUCAACAAGCAUUACCAUAUGGGAUAAAAAUGACCCCGCGAUUUAUCCUCAUCCAAUAACCAACCACUGGGCCAUGUUGAAAUGCCAGGCACCUGGAUUGAGCAUGAGUGUGCCUGACAACGCACUGCCCUAUUUUAAAGAAUCGAUGGCCCGCUUCCGUUGCAAUGGCUGUUUGAGC